UGGUUAUAUAGCAACAUGCUGGCACCAAUCUUGAUCCAAAUUGGAUUUACUAGAUUUGAUCAUCCAUAUUUAUUAAACCAUCUGUACACUAAUUCAAUCAUGAUCUGAUUAAAGUAUCUUAAUUAGACUGUUCAAGAUGUCGGAUAGUAUUAUCUAAUCUGUCCUGUUCCAUCUUAUUAAUUUCUUUCUUUGCUGAUAUCUCUCUUUACUUUAUUUAUGAACCUAAUGAAGGGUCCCCAACUCUGUUUGUUUGAAUCUAAGUGGACCU
rnacentral:lncRNA from 1 species